AUGCCAUUCAACAUGAAGAUUUCUUCAUAACAAAAUGCCACCAGGCCUGCAGGAGUGGAAGCAGUGGUCACUUCCACUGUCCUUUCUGCCUCAAGACAACAAUAAAAAGGCAGGCUAUACAGAGGCAUUUGCCGAUCUGUAGGCCACCUCUCCAUGAUGCCCAGUUGGAUGCUGAUGCAGACUGCAGAGAGAUGGGCAUCAAUUCCCAGACAGAGGAGUGCAAAGCAGGAUCUGUGAACCUACCUCAUCUCAGCACUGACAAACUGCCUGUAUCGGUACAGUAUAGUGAAAUACAAGGACAAAGAGACCCAGCAGAGAGACCCCAAGACCCACCGCCAGAAUCCUUCUUGCCGUUCCUUCUUGCUAACCUGGACAAUCCUCCCUGCAGAGUGCGCCGUGCAAAGUUGCCAAAUGUACUUUGUCCUCACUGUAAUGUGCAGUUCCAACGAAAAAAUAUAGAGAAGCACAUUUACAGACAACACACAGAUAAAGCUGUCAGAGACAUCACUGCAAAUUCCCAUC